ensembl:snRNA U6 U6 spliceosomal RNA
GUGCUCGCUUCAGCAGCACAUAUACUAAAAUUGGAAUGAUACAGAGAUUAGCAUGGCCUGCAAGGAUGACAUGCAAAUUAAUGAACUGUUCCAUAUUUUU